UACGUAGGGUGCGAGCGUUGUCCGGAAUUACUGGGCGUAAAGAGCUCGUAGGUGGUUUGUCGCGUUGUUCGUGGAAUCUCACGGCUUAACUGUGAGCGUGCGGGCGAUACGGGCAGACUAGAGUACUGCAGGGGAGACUGGAAUUCCUGGUGUAGCGGUGGAAUGCGCAGAUAUCAGGAGGAACACCGGUGGCGAAGGCGGGUCUCUGGGCAGUAACUGACGCUGAGGAGCGAAAGCGUGGGGAGCGAACAGG
rnacentral:rRNA from 1 species